UACGUAGGGCGCAAGCGUUAUCCGGAAUUAUUGGGCGUAAAGAGCUCGUAGGCGGUUUGUCGCGUCUGCCGUGGAAGUCCGGGGCUCAACUCCGGAUCUGCGGUGGGUACGGGCAGACUAGAGUGAUGUAGGGGAGACUGGAAUUCCUGGUGUAGCGGUGAAAUGCGCGGAUAUCAGGAGGAACACCGAUGGCGAAGGCAGGUCUCUGGGCAUUAACUGACGCUGAGGAGCGAAAGCAUGGGGAGCGAACAGG
rnacentral:rRNA from 1 species